UUAAAUUUUUGAAGUUAUCUUAGCUUUUUUGUUGGGUGAAAUCAGUAUAAAGAGUUUCUCUUUCUUUUAAAAUUAAUAGGAAUUAAAAAACUUUGAUUUAAAACCAGGAUUAGAUACCCUGUUAUUCUAAGUUAUAUUUAGACAGGGUAGUAAAAGUUGUUCUUCAAACCCAAAGAUUUUGGCGGCACUUUAUCCAAAUAGAGGAGCUUGUCCCUUAAUCGAUAGUCCCCGUUUUAUCUUUCCUCUGUUUGUAGAGCUUGUAUACCGCCGUUGUCAGAUUACUUUUAGAGAAUGUUUUCAAGUUAAAAGACUUUUCUACUUCAGGUCAAGGUGCAGUUCAUACAGAGGUGGAGGUGAGCUACAAUUUUCUUUAGAAAAACGGAUUUCAAGCCUUGAAGCUGGUUGAAGGUGGAUUUAUUAGUAAAGUAA
rnacentral:rRNA from 1 species